rnacentral:lncRNA from 1 species
AGAAAGGGACCAGUGGGCCCUGCGGCCGCGGCUGCGCCUGCGCGCUUGCUGUCCAGGUAGUCUCCCCACCUUACCUCAUGCCCAGCUGGGCCGUGUUCACCCCUCCGCGCUGUCACAAUCGCCUUGCCCUCCCUUGCCUCUCUGUCUACUCUGCGUUCCCCGCUGGGAGGAGGGUCUGGUGAUAAAAUAGCGGCGAGGUAUUUUGUUAUUUUAAUAUGCUUAGCGUUUGAUAUUUGGAGGGGUCGUAUUGCCCUAUGCGGGGGAGUUGGGGUAAGUUAAUGGUGGAAAGGCCUCAGCACAACGAACAGAAAAUGGAGUGAACGCCCGUGACUGCCCUGCGCAAUCCUGCGGAGUCAUUGCUUCAUGGCCAGAGCUUAUUUACCGCCCUCGGGUUAGCCCGGUUUGGUCAGACGAUCAGUCAGGCAACCUGUAUUGACAGUGGCCUCUGCUGCUACGAUGACAGCUGUGCGCGAGCGCCCCCAGAUUAUCUGUGUGUAGGGCGGAACAGGGUGCCCGAGGAGUGUCCACCCAAAUGGGACAAUUUAAUAUAGUUGAGGUGUUCGCCUUAUAUUCUAUCAAAUUAAGUUACUGGUCAAUUUCAGGCUUUAAGUGGCAUUAAGGAUAGUUCCAAAAUUAUUUUCAGUGUAAUACAGAGAGAAAUUAUCUCUGAGAAUCCUAAUUUGAAAUGACGUCAUUGGCUUUUAAAGAUGACUUGCAAGGAAUGUACAAACCAGCCCAUUAUUAAUCAAUGUUGCACAAUUUAAAUCCUGACAGCCCACUAUGACCCAAAUCCGCAAAGAUACAUUCUGCCUUUCUGCUCCUAAGCCGUCCAACCCUGUUCUGAGAAUAAAUACUGUUACAUAAACAC